CCUACGGGAGGCAGCAGUGAGGAAUAUUGGUCAAUGGCCGGAAGGCUGAACCAGCCAUGCCGCGUGAAGGUCAGUGCCCUAUGGGCGUUAAACUUCUUUUGUGCGGGAGCAAUAAUGGUCACGUGUGGCCAGACGAGAGUACCGUACGAAUAAGCAUCGGCUAACUCCGUGCCAGCAGCCGCGGUAAUACGGGGGAUGCAAGCGUUAUCCGGAUUUAUUGGGUUUAAAGGGUGCGUAGGCUGUGAGGUAAGUCAGCGGUGAAAUGCCCCCGCUCAACGGGGUGAAGUGCCAUUGAUACUGCCUGGCUGGAAUGCGGAUGCAGUGGGAGGAAUGUGUGGUGUAGCGGUGAAAUGCAUAGAUAUCACACAGAACACCGAUUGCGAAGGCAUCUCACGAAUCCGCGAUUGACGCUGAUGCACGAAAGCGUGGGUAUCAAACAGGAUUAGAUACCCUAGUAGUC
rnacentral:rRNA from 1 species